rnacentral:rRNA from 1 species
UUUUGCAUAUCCCAAAAGCGGAGGAAAAGAAACCAACAGGGAUUGCCCUAGUAACGGCGAGUGAAGCGGCAACAGCUCAAAUUUGAAAUCUGGCUCUUUCAGAGUCCGAGUUGUAAUUUGCAGAGGGCGCUUUGGCUUUGGCAGCGGUCCAAGUUCCUUGGAACAGGACGUCACAGAGGGUGAGAAUCCCGUACGUGGUCGCUAGCUAUUGCCGUGUAAAGCCCCUUCGACGAGUCGAGUUGUUUGGGAAUGCAGCUCUAAAUGGGAGGUAAAUUUCUUCUAAAGCUAAAUAUUGGCCAGAGACCGAUAGCGCACAAGUAGAGUGAUCGAAAGAUGAAAAGCACUUUGGAAAGAGAGUCAAACAGCACGUGAAAUUGUUGAAAGGGAAGCGCUUGCAGCCAGACUUGCUUGCAGUUGCUCAUCCGGGCUUUUGCCCGGUGCACUCUUCUGCAGGCAGGCCAGCAUCAGUUUGGGCGGUGGGAUAAAGGUCUCUGACACGUUCCUUCCUUCGGGUUGGCCAUAUAGGGGAGACGUCAUACCACCAGCCUGGACUGAGGUCCGCGCAUCUGCUAGGAUGCUGGCGUAAUGGCUGUAAGCGGCCCGUCUUGAGCCACCGGACCAAA